rfam:Ictidomys tridecemlineatus contig007914, whole genome shotgun sequence.
UGUGGUGUGGCUCAGCGGCAGAGUGCUCACCUAGCACAUUCAAAGCCCUGAGUUCAAUCCUCAGCACCACAA